UACGUAGGGCGCAAGCGUUGUCCGGAAUUAUUCGGCGUAAAGAGCUCGUAGGCGGUUUGUCGCGUCUGCUGUGAAAGCCCGGGGCUCAACCCCGGGUCUGCAGUGGGUACGGGCAGACUAGAGUGCAGUAGGGUAGACUGGAAUUCCUGGUGUAGCUGUGAAAUGCGCAGAUAACAGGAGGCACACCGAUGGAGAAGGCAGGGCUCUGGGCUGUUACUGACGCUGAGGAGCAAAAGCAUGGGGAGCGAACAGG
rnacentral:misc_RNA from 1 species